rnacentral:rRNA from 1 species
GGUAAAGAGCGGCGGACGGGUGAGUAACGCGUGGGUAACCUGCCCUGUACACACGGAUAACAUACCGAAAGGUAUGCUAAUACGAGAUAACAUACUUUUAUCGCAUGGUAGAAGUAUCAAAGCUUUUGCGGUACAGGAUGGACCCGCGUCUAAUUAGCUAGUUGGUAAGGUAACGGCUUACCAAGGCGACGAUCAGUAGCCGACCUGAGAGGGUGAUCGGCCACAUUGGAACUGAGACACGGUCCAAACUCCUACGGGAGGCAGCAGUGGGGAAUAUUGCACAAUGGGCGAAAGCCUGAUGCAGCAACGCCGCGUGAGCGAUGAAGGCCUUCGGGUCGUAAAGCUCUGUCCUCAAGGAAGAUAAUGACGGUACUUGAGGAGGAAGCCCCGGCUAACUACGUGCCAGCAGCCGCGGUAAUACGUAGGGGGCUAGCGUUAUCCGGAAUUACUGGGCGUAAAGGGUGCGUAGGUGGUUUCUUAAGUCAGAGGUGAAAGGCUACGGCUCAACCGUAGUAAGCCUUUGAAACUGGGAAACUUGAGUGCAGGAGAGGAGAGUGGAAUUCCUAGUGUGGCGGUGAAAUGCGUAGAUAUUAGGAGGAACACCAGUUGCGAAGGCGGCUCUCUGGACUGUAACUGACACUGAGGCACGAAAGCGUGGGGAGCAAACAGGAUUAGAUACCCUGGUAGUCCACGCCGU